rnacentral:rRNA from 1 species
CCUGGUUGAUCCUGCCAGUAGUCAUAUGCUUGUCUCAAAGAUUAAGCCAUGCAUGUCUAAGUGCAUGCCAAAUUAAGGUGAAACCGCGAAUGGCUCAUUAAAUCAGUUAUGGUUCCUUAGAUCGUACCCACAUUUACUUGGAUAACUGUGGUAAUUCUAGAGCUAAUACAUGCAAACCAGAGUUCCGACCAGAGAUGGAAGGAACGCUUUUAUUAGAUCAAAACCAAUCGGUGGCGGGCUUUGCUCGUCCACCGUUUACUUUGGUGACUCUGAAUAACUUUGUGCUGAUCGCACGGUCUCGUACCGGCGACGCAUCUUUCAAAUGUCUGCCUUAUCAACUGUCGAUGGUAGGUUCUGCGCCUACCAUGGUUGUAACGGGUAACGGGGAAUCAGGGUUCGAUUCCGGAGAGGGAGCCUGAGAAACGGCUACCACAUCCAAGGAAGGCAGCAGGCGCGCAAAUUACCCACUCCCGGCACGGGGAGGUAGUGACGAAAAAUAACGAUACGGGACUCAUCCGAGGCCCCGUAAUCGGAAUGAGUACACUUUAAAUCCUUUAACGAGGAUCAAUUGGAGGGCAAGUCUGGUGCCAGCAGCCGCGGUAAUUCCAGCUCCAAUAGCGUAUAUUAAAGUUGUUGCGGUUAAAAAGCUCGUAGUUGAAUCUGUGUCGCACGCUGUCGGUUCGCCGCUCGCGGUGUUUAACUGACAUGCUCGUGAGACGUCCUACCGGUGGGCUUAGCUCCUUCGGGGGCGGUCCAACUAAUAUCCCAUCGCGGUGCUCUUUAUUGAGUGUCGAGGUGGGCCGGUACGUUUACUUUGAACAAAUUAGAGUGCUUAAAGCAGGCUAUCAUUUGCCUGAAUAUUCUGUGCAUGGAAUAAUGGAAUAGGACCUCGGUUCUAUUUUGUUGGUUUUAAGAAACCCGAGGUAAUGAUUAAUAGGGACAGAUGGGGGCAUUCGUAUUGCGACGUUAGAGGUGAAAUUCUUGGAUCGUCGCAAGACGGACAGAAGCGAAAGCAUUUGCCAAAAAUGUUUUCAUUAAUCAAGAACGAAAGUUAGAGGUUCGAAGGCGAUCAGAUACCGCCCUAGUUCUAACCAUAAACGAUGCCAGCUAGCGAUCCGCCGAAGUUCCUCCGAUGACUCGGCGGGCAGCUUCCGGGAAACCAAAGCUUUUGGGUUCCGGGGGGAGUAUGGUUGCAAAGCUGAAACUUAAAGGAAUUGACGGAAGGGCACCACCAGGAGUGGAGCCUGCGGCUUAAUUUGACUCAACACGGGAAACCUCACCAGGCCCGGACACCGGAAGGAUUGACAGAUUGAGAGCUCUUUCUUGAUUCGGUGGGUGGUGGUGCAUGGCCGUUCUUAGUUGGUGGAGCGAUUUGUCUGGUU